CCUACGGGUGGCAGCAGUGGGGAAUAUUGCACAAUGGGGGGAACCCUGAUGCAGCGACGCCGCGUGAGUGAAGAAGUAUUUCGGUAUGUAAAGCUCUAUCAGCAGGGAAGAAGAUGACGGUACCUGACUAAGAAGCCCCGGCUAACUACGUGCCAGCAGCCGCGGUAAUACGUAGGGGGCAAGCGUUAUCCGGAUUUACUGGGUGUAAAGGGAGCGUAGACGGCAGGGCAAGUCUGGAGUGAAAGCCCGGGGCCCAACCCCGGGACUGCUUUGGAAACUGCCAUGCUAGAGUGCUGGAGAGGUAAGCGGAAUUCCUAGUGUAGCGGUGAAAUGCGUAGAUAUUAGGAGGAACACCAGUGGCGAAGGCGGCCUGCUGGACGACAACUGACGGUGAGGCGCGAAAGCGUGGGGAGCAAACAGGAUUAGAUACCCUUGUAGUC
rnacentral:rRNA from 1 species